rnacentral:rRNA from 1 species
UACGGAGGGUGCAAGCAUUAAUCGGAUUUAUUGGGCGUAAAGGGCGCGUAGGCGGGUAGAAUAGUCAGAUGUGAAAUCCCGGGGCUUAACCUCGGAACUGCAUUUGAAACUCUCUAUCUUGAGGGUAGGCGGAGAAAGCGGAAUUCCACAAGUAGCGGUGAAAUGCGUAGAUAUGUGGAAGAACACCGGUGGCGAAGGCGGCUUUCUAGCUUAUUCCUGACGCUGAGGCGCGAAAGCAAGGGGAUCAAACAGG